GUGGGGAAUAUUGCGCAAUGGGCGAAAGCCUGACGCAGCGACGCCGCGUGAGGGAUGAAGGUUUUCGGAUCGUAAACCUCUGUCGGAAGGGAAGAAGGCGCACCGUGCCAAUCAGCGGUGUGUUGACGGUACCUUCAAAGGAAGCGCCGGCUAACUCCGUGCCAGCAGCCGCGGUAAUACGGAGGGCGCGAGCGUUAAUCGGAAUUACUGGGCGUAAAGCGCGCGUAGGCUGUUUCGUAAGUCAGGGGUGAAAUCCCACGGCUCAACCGUGGAACUGCCUUUGAUACUGCGGGACUUGAAUCCGGGAGAGGGUGGCGGAAUUCCAGGUGUAGGAGUGAAAUCCGUAGAUAUCUGGAGGAACACCAGUGGCGAAGGCGGCCACCUGGUCCGGUAUUGACGCUGAGGUGCGAAAGCGUGGGGAGCAAACAGG
rnacentral:rRNA from 1 species